ACAGAAAGAGUUUAAGGAGGCAAAAGCUAUGCUUUCUGACCAAGGUGACGGAAUAGAAAAAUUGGAAGCAAUGGUGUUGAAACUAUCUGGUCGAGAAUUUGAGAGUGAGGAGAAGGGUAGCUGCUCAGUUAAACCACAAUGCCUCCUCGAUAUAAAACCUUAAGUUGAACGUCAUAGGCGCCUCUCAAAUGAAGGCCUAGAAGAACAUGAUGAUGAUGAUGUGAAAUUUAUUGAGAAGGAUUCGGCUUUACAGGAAAAAGCAGUGAUGUUGUUAUUGCAGCCUAACGACAAGACUGUUGCAUACGAGACAAUUGUCUCUGUUAAUGGACCUGGCAACUUUAUUGAUGAUGUUCCAUUACCCGUGAAUUGCAUGAGGAUUGCCAUUGAUAAUGCAAUUGAUCAAUCAGCACCACUGUCUGUUGCAAUCCCAUCUGCAUGUCAGAGUAUUGGGGAUGCUGUAGGUGGCCAUGUGGCUUGGCCUGUGCACUUAAUCAGCAUGCGGGAUGAGACCAGGAAGAAAAAAGUUGACAACAGACAAGAGAAGUCUAAGUUACAAUCGUCCAAUGUGCCAAGACCCUUACACCUUAUAUAGUUAUUUUUAGCGUCUUGCUGAAACAGAGAAUGUGAUUUUGGAAUUAGUUCCUGAUGUAUUUGGCAUGGAGCGCACAGUCCAUGUUAAUUGCGAUGACAUAUUUCCCUUUUGUGAAUUGAAGCCAAUCACAGACACUUGCAUAGU